rnacentral:ncRNA from 1 species
AAAGACUCAGUCCUAACCUUACUAUUAGUUCUUACCAAACAUAUACAUGCAAGUAUCCGCACCCCAGUGCAAAUGCCCUCAACCCCUCAAUUCAAGGUAGUAGGAGCAGAUAUCAGGCACACCACCAGUAGCCCAAGACAUCUUGCUCAGCCACACCCCCACGGGUACUCAGCAGUAAUAAACAUUAAGCUAUAAGUGUAAACUUGACUUAGUUAUGGUAACACAGGGCUGGUAAAUCUUGUGCCAGCCACCGCGGUCACACAAGAAGCCCAAACUAAUCUUACACGGCGUAAAGAGUGGACCCACAUUAUCUUAACACCUAGGGCUGAAACACAACUAAGCCGUUAUAAGCAUAAGAUGUGCCUAACACCCUCUAUAAAAACGACCCUAGCCCAACGAUCAAUCAAACUCCACGAAAGCCAGGCCACAAACUGGGAUUAGAUACCCCACUAUGCCAGGCCGUAAAUCUAGAUACUCAAUUACUUGAAUAUCCGCCCGAGUACUACGAGCACAAACGCUUAAAACUCUAAGGACUUGGCGGUGCCCUAAACCCACCUAGAGGAGCCUGUUCUGUAAUCGAUAACCCACGAUACACCCGACCACCUCUUGCUCAAACAGCCUAUAUACCGCCGUCGCCAGUUCACCCUUAACUGAAGGACUAAAAGUGAACAUAAUAACCUCCCCGUUAACAAGACAGGUCGAGGUAUAGCCCAUGAGGUGGAAGAAAUGGGCUACAUUUUCUUUCACAAAGAAUAUUCACGACAAGAGACCUGAAACCGUCUCUAAAAGGCGGAUUUAGCAGUAAAGCAGGGCCAUCAAGCCUCCUUUAAGCUGGCCCCAGGGCACGUACAUACCGCCCGUCACCCUCCUCUUAAGCCCCCUACCAUACCCUAACUAACAACAUGCUAGGCCAAAGACGAGGUAAGUCGUAACAAGGUAAGUGUACCGGAAGGUGCACUUAGUCUAC